UCCUCCAACCCUUCGGAUUUCGGGCAUUUCAUGCCUAACCGGGAAAAAUCUGACGCUCAGCACAGUUGCGUCCCUCCCAGACCAAUCACAGCCGUCCAUUUCCCAUCGAGAUCAUUCCUUCGUCCAUGGAACCGCCGGGCCGCUGCAAGCGCAACGACGGCCAGAAGUGGCGGUGCAGCGAGAUGGCGGCGGAGGGGAAGUCGUACUGUCAAAAGCACUACGAUCAGAAGAGAAACAAUGCUAUGAAUAAGAAAAUCAAGACGGGAAGGUCAGAUGGAAACAGCGGUUCCGAUAAUCUCACGAAGAAUCGUCGAUCCAAAGAGGACAAAUCUGGCAAAAAAUCGGAGCAGCGUGCUUGCUCGAAGUUGCAGGAAAAACCUACUAAACAAUCUGAGGAGCGUGCGAGCUCGAAGCUGCAGGAUAAGUCAUGCAAGAAAUUGGAGCAGCGUGCAAGCUUGAAGCUGCAGGAAAAACCUAGCAAACUAUCAGAGGAGCGUGCAAGCUCGAAGAUGCAGGAUAAGUCUAGCAAGAAAUCGGAGCAGCGCGUAUGCUUGAAGUUGCAGGAAAAAUCCAGCAGAAAAUCGGAUCGGCGCGUGGGCUUGAAUGUGCCGGAAAAGUCUAGCAAAAAAUCUGAGGAGCGGGAGAGCUUGAAGUUGCAGGAAAAGCCUGGCAAAAAUUCGGAGCAGCGCGUGUGCUUGAUGUGCCACCAGUGUCAGCGGAACGACAAGAGUGGCGUUGUCUUCUGUUCUAAUUGUACAAAGCGAUUUUGCUUUGAGUGCAUCGAAAGAUGGUACCCUGGGAAGACAAGAGAGGAAAUUGGGAAGAAAUGCCCGUUUUGUUGUCACAACUGCAACUGCAAAGCUUGCUUGCGUGCGUUUAUUGAGAAACCUCACACUAGAAAAGUUGGACCCAGUGUCAAAUUACAGCGGCUCAAGUACUUGCUCUAUAAAGCUUUGCCUGUUCUGAGGUAUAUUCAUAAGGAGCAGAGCUCUGAACUAGAGAUUGAGUCCAAAAUACGAGGUGUUCAACUGACUGAAGGGGGGAUACAAAGAACUAAAAUAGACCCAAAAGAACGUAUUUACUGCGACAAUUGCUCUACAUCUAUUGUUGAUUUCCACAGAAGCUGCACCAACCCCGAUUGUUCCUAUGAUCUCUGUCUCACUUGUUGCAAAGAGCUAAGGGAAGGUUGUCAACCUGGAGGUUGUGAAGCAGAAACAUCUCACCAACAAUCUGUAGAAAGAGCUCAUAAACAAGUGAAAAAUAGAGGCAAUACUAACAUGAAAAGGAAAAGACAUGUGUGGGAGGGCCAGAUUACCCCUGCUUCGGAUAAUCCUAAAGCUGAUGUGCCUUUUACUCUUCCUAAUUGGAAAGCGAAUCCUGAUGGCAGCAUUCCUUGUCCUCCAAAAGAGUGUGGAGGUUGUGGCCAGGUAAAUCUGGAACUGAGGCGCAAAUGUAAAGCUAAUUGGGUAAUGCAACUGUUAAAAAAUGCUGAGGAUUUUACUAUUGACUUCAAGAUGCAAGACACCGAUGUUUCUCAAGGAUGCUCCUUGUGCCAGCCAAAUGAUUCCAAGGAACAUAAUAAUAUACAGUCUGAAGUGAGGCAGGCGGCUUUCAGGGAAAACAGUGAUGAUAACUUCUUAUACUGUCCGAAUGCUAUUGACAUUCCAGAUGAUGAAAUUCAACAUUUUCAGAGGCACUGGAUAAAUGGGGAACCUGUGAUAGUCAGAAAUGUUCUUGACAAGACAUCUGGUCUUAGUUGGGAACCUAUGGUCAUGUGGAGGGCUUUUAGAGAAACGGGGGCCAAUGUAAAGUUUAAAGAGGAGACACGAAGUGUGAAGGCCCUUGACUGCUUUGAUUGGUGUGAGGUGGAAAUCAAUAUUCACCAGUUUUUCAUGGGCUACUUGGAGGGUCGUAUACAUAGAAGUGGGUGGCCUGAGAUGUUGAAAUUGAAGGAUUGGCCUUCAUCAACUUUAUUUGAAGAGCGUUUGCCAAGGCAUUGCUCUGAAUUUAUUGCUGCACUCCCUUUCAGUGACUAUACUGAUCCAAAAUAUCCAGAAGUGGGUUGUCUUAAUCUUGCCACAAAACUUCCUGAAGAUUCAUUGAAACCUGAUAUGGGACCCAAAACAUACAUUGCCUAUGGAUUCUCUGAAGAGCUUGGGAGAGGUGAUUCAGUGACAAAGCUACACUGUGAUAUGUCUGAUGCGGUAAAUGUUCUGACUCACACAACAGGAGUGAAGAUCACUCCUUGGCAGCACAAAAAGAUAAAGGGUUUGCAGAGGAAGCAUGAAGCUGAAGACUUGCGUGAACUGUACAAAGAAAGAGAUAAGGAUAAGGGGACAGUUGGAGGAAAAUCAUCAAACAAAUCUUGCGAAAUCCAGAUCAUGGGUGCUGAAUGUACUGAAAAUGAGAACAUUGUGGAUAAUGAUCAUCUAAUGCAGAAAGAUGGGAAGAAAAGAAAAAUGGAUGACGAACAAUCAUGUAGGAUUUCUCAGUUGUCAGAUUCCAAGUAUUCAGAUGAUACUGUUGAAUAUGAUAGAACUGAGCAUGUUCCAGAACCUCCUGAUACUUCUGAAAUACAUAAAUUAAAAUUUCCAACUCUUGACCAUCAGAGGAAUGAAUUGAUACAAACCACCUUGCCUCAAGCAAAUGGAGUUGAAGCAGAGCAAGAACACGCUCAAUGUUCCACGGACAUGAUGAUUGAGAGAUCUGGUGGGAAAGAUUCUUCAGGGGCUUUGUUUCCAGGAAAUGAUGCGGUUCAUGAUAUGAACGUGAAAGAGUCAAACCUGACACAAACAAAGGAUUCUCUUGAAAGUAAUGACAGUUUGGAUGUUGCCCAAUGUGGUGCUGUUUGGGACAUCUUUCGCCGCCAGGAUGUCCCCAAGUUAAGGGAAUACUUGGAAAAACACAAGAAAGAAUUUCGCCACAUUAAUAAUCAUCCUGUAGAUUCUGUGGUUCAUCCUAUUCAUGAUCAGACCCUUUACUUGAAUGAGAGACAUAAGAAACAACUAAAGGAGGAAUUCAAUGUGGAGCCUUGGACAUUUAAACAAUACCUUGGCGAGGCAGUUUUUAUUCCCACAGGAUGUCCUCAUCAAGUUAGAAAUACACAAUCUUGUAUAAAGGUAGCACUUGACUUUGUAUCUCCUGAAAGUCUUGAAGAAUGUCUUCGACUGACUGAAGAGUUUCGUUUGCUCCCAAAAAGCCAUAGAGCCAAGGAAGACAAAUUGGAGGUGAAAAAGAUGACACUCUAUGCUGUAAGUUCAGCUGUAAGAGAAACCAAAAAACUGAUGUCAGGGCUCAAAUGAUUUUUGAGGGAAUACCUGAAAAAUAAACGGUUCUGAUCAUCCAUAGUGGUUCCCACAAGAAGUCCUUCAAAGGAUCCCUCAAUAAAAGGAAACUUUUGUUCCAAUUCCAUAUUUGUUUUCUCCAUCCAAACUCAUCGUAUCAACUCGAGUUUUCUUUAUCUAGAGGUUCGAUUGCAAGAGGUUUUGGGUUCGAAAUCUCUAAACGAUGUUCCUCACUUGUUUGCCAAUUUGCAAGGUGCUCUUCUUCAACUAUAUUCUUUUCUAUGUUUGCACUUGUUUGCAUGUCCAUGUGUUGUAGGGUGGAGCUGCACACAAAGAACCACGUGAAGAUGGGUGUUGGCUUGACAUACAUUGUUGACUCAUUCCUAAUCAUCUAAGCUUUUGGCUUUUAGUGGUUUUGCAACAAACUAGUUAAGAACAGGCCUAGCAGCCAAACGAUUGUUUGGUUGUGCCAUGUGUCUAUUGAAGUGCACGUUCGAAGGGUUGCAGUUGUGUGAAGGCUUCAUUGACAAUGUUGGAGUUGCUUCGCGAAUAACCUUUGUUUUGAAGCCCACAACAAUGUAUUGACAAUUACACCGAAGGCAAGAAAGAUUGGCCUUGUUGUCUAAGGUUGGAUUGGAUUGGAUAACUCACUAGAUUCACUGGAUGUUGAAGGAAGUAAUGGAUGUGGUAGCACUUGGAGGGAUAAGUUUCCUUCAUAACUAAUCCAUCUUCUACCUUUAAACUGGACGAAGUUUGGGAGUUGCAUCCAUUCAUUUUUAACAUAAAUUGGAAUCUAGCGGGUUAUUCUAUACAAUCCUCGAAACUAAACUACGUUAUUAUUUAAGAAGCCAAAAUGGAAAGUAUCUACACUAGACAACGAAUGGGAGCAUAUGGUGGCAAUCAAACACAAACACAUCAUGAAAUUUACACAUUGAGCUGCAUAUGCGCAGAAACUUUGCCAUUUGCAUCGGCCCAUUCGAAAAAUGAAGAGUAGGAGCAACCGGUUGUGCUAGCACCACAAAAGCUUCUUAGUCUGCAGACUACAGCAAAUUCAAAGGCCUUUUGUCCUCUGCUUUUGUAUGAACCCAUGAAAACUAACACCGAAGUUAAUGUAUGCUGUCUUAUGAAACGUUCGCUGAUUCAAUCUGCAUGGAGAUUAUAUUAUAAAUUAGGGAAGUUUAACGAAAA